ACAGUCCUCCGGGUUCACUGCUUCCUGCACUUGCACUGAGCGCUGGACGGGUCGAGUCCAAGUUCUCAAGGUUUGAGAGCUUGCAACAGGCAUCCAAUGAGGACUGUGCUGCAGAGAACGGUCGUGCCUUGUGGCCAUUCUUUGCACGAACGCCAACUCCUACAGCAGGAAGGAAGGAGAUUGCCAGCCAUUCUGGUAAAGCUAGAAGAAAUACAUGAAGAAAGAUUCUAGUCCACUGGAUCAUCCCCGGAGGAUUGUUCUGUGUGGUUCUGCUGCUUGUGCAGACCGGGUCACAGGCCCUUCCUCUCCGACAUCUUCAGAAUAAAGUUUGCUAACGUGAGCUCUCCCUUCUUGAAAAGCCCCAGCCAGCAACGUGAGAAGGCUAACCAUAGGUGGGAUACGUUAUGUGAGCCUGUUCUGAUACCAUCUGCCAUGGCUGAAAAGUGUGCAGUCCUCAUAAUGAAAGCUGAAGAGGCAACCAACAGCUGCUGAAGGAGAAUUGCAUCUCAUGGUGUCCUGUGCUAACAAAUCUGUCCAUUCUUGGAUUGCCAUCGACAGUCACACAGCAAGAGACCUGAACGCUGGAGGAAGAGGACUUUAUCACAUCUUCCAUCCAUUUUCAAGCCGACUUGAUCCCUGUAAAAGAUGGUAGAAGGGGCUGGUCUGGACAAGCCUCACCCUCACGAUGUCUUCCUUUCAGGCAGAAUAGAAGUGAAGGGAGAAUUAUUUGAAGAGCGCUUUGGAUGUUGGGUGUUUCAACCCCAUCCCGGUGGAAUUUUCUUCUCCUUUGGGACUUGAAAACUGAAAGCCAUUUCCAUCCAUCAAACUGAGCGUGAAGGGGAAGAAAAAUGACACUGCAGAAAUGUUCUGCA